UACAGAGGGUGCAAGCGUUAAUCGGAAUUACUGGGCGUAAAGCGCGCGUAGGUGGUUUGUUAAGUCAGAGGUGAAAUCCUGGAGCUCAACUCCAGAACUGCCUUUGAUACUGGAGAGCUUGAGUCCGGGAGAGGUGAGUGGAACUGCGAGUGUAGAGGUGAAAUUCGUAGAUAUUCGCAAGAACACCAGUGGCGAAGGCGGCUCACUGGCCCGGUACUGACGCUGAGGUGCGAAAGCGUGGGGAGCAAACAGG
rnacentral:rRNA from 1 species